UACAGAGGAUGCAAGCGUUAUCCGGAAUGAUUGGGCGUAAAGCGUCUGUAGGUGGCUUUUUAAGUCCGCCGUCAAUCCCAGGGCUCAACUCUGGACAAGCGGUGGAAACUACCAAGCUUGAGUACGGUAGGGCAGAGGGAAUUUCCGGUGGAGCGUGAAAUGCGUAGAGAUCGGAAAGAACACCAACGGCGAAAGCACUCUGCUGGCCGACACUGACACUGAGAGACGAAAGCUAGGGAGCGAAUGGG
rnacentral:rRNA from 1 species